ensembl:snRNA U1 U1 spliceosomal RNA
AUACUUACCUGGCAGGGGAGGUAUGAUCAUGAAGGUGGUUUUCCCAGGGCGAGGCUAUCCAUUGCACUCUGGAUGUGCUGACCCCUGCAAUUUUUGAGAUUUCCUCUAAUGUGGGAAACUCGAUUGCAUAAUUUGUGGUAGUGGGGGACUGCGUUCACACUCUCUCCUG